rnacentral:rRNA from 1 species
GGUCAAGCUACAAAGGGCGCAUGGUGAAUGCCUUGGCAUCAGGAGCCGAUGAAGGACGUGAUAAGCUGCGAUAAGCUUCGGGUAGGCGCACAUAGCGUGAGAUCCGAAGAUCUCCGAAUGAGGAAACUCACAUGGGAAACCCCAUGUAUCAUUAAGUGAAUACAUAGCUUAAUGAAGGUAACCCAGGGAACUGAAACAUCUAAGUACCUGGAGGAAGAGAAAGAAAAAUCGAUUUUCUUAGUAGCGGCGAGCGAAAGGGAAAGAGCCCAAACCGGAAACUUGUUUCCGGGGUUGUGGACAUAGCAUGAAAGUGGAGGCUAUUGUAACUGAAGAGAACUGGAAAGUUCCACCGUAGAAGGUAAUAGUCCUGUAAGUGAAACGAGAAGACCACGAGUUAUGAUCCAGAGUACCACGAGACACGUGAAACCUUGUGGGAAGCAGGGAGGACCACCUCCCAAGGCUAAAUACUACCUGAUGACCGAUAGUGAAGCAGUACCGUGAGGGAAAGGUGAAAAGAACCCCGGGAGGGGAGUGAAAUAGAACCUGAAACCGUGUGCCUACAACCGCUCAGAGCCCCUUAUGAGGGUGAUGAGGUGCUUUUUGUAGAACGAGCCAACGAGUUACGGUAUGUAGCAAGGUUAAGUACUUAAGGUACGGAGCCGAAGGGAAACCGAGUCUGAAUAGGGCGACUAGUUGCAUGCCGUAGACCCGAAACCGGGUGACCUAUCCAUGGCCAGGUUGAAGCGAGGGUAAAACCUCGUGGAGGACCGAACCACGUUGCUGUUGAAAAAGCAUGGGAUGAGCUGUGGAUAGCGGAGAAAUUCCAAUCGAACCCGGAGAUAGCUGGUUCUCUCCGAAAUAGCUUUAGGGCUAGCGUCGAGUAUGAGUAGUGGAGGUAGAGCACUGAAUGGGCUAGGGGGCAUAGCGCUUACCGAACCUUAUCAAACUCCGAAUGCCACAUACUUUGAGCUCGGCAGUCAGACUACGAAUGAUAAGAUCCGUGGUCAAAAGGGAAACAGCCCAGAUCGUCAGCUAAGGUCCCAAAGUGUAAGUUAAGUGGGAAAGGAUGUGAGAUUUCUAAGACAACUAGGAUGUUGGCUUAGAAGCAGCCAUUCAUUAAAAGAGUGCGUAAUAGCUCACUAGUCGAGAGAUCUUGCGCCGAAAAUGUAACGGGGCUAAACUUACCACCGAAGCUACGGGCUUGAACUUAGUUCAAGCGGUAGGAGAGCGUCGUAACCGGGCUGAAGUCGUACCGUAAGGAGCGGUGGACUGGUUAUGAGUGAGAAUGUUGGCAUCAGUAGCGAGAUGUGGGUGAGAAUCCCACAGGCCGAAAACCUAAGGUUUCCUCAGGAAGGUUCGUCCGCUGAGGGUUAGUCGGGACCUAAGCCGAGGCCGAAAGGCGUAGGUGAUGGACAACUGGUUGAUAUUCCAGUACCACUACCAUCGUUAUUAUCGAUGGCGUGACGCAGGAGGAUAGUGUGUGCUAGCUAUUGGAUGCUAGUCUAAGCGUUUAGGCAGUGAGAGUAGGCAAAUCCGCUCUCAUAAUGCUGAGGCGUGAUGGGGAAGGUUCCACGGAACCGAAGUACAUGAUUCCACGCUGCCAAGAAAAGCGUCUAGAGAGAGAAGUAGUGCCCGUACCGCAAACCGACACAGGUAGGUGAGGAGAGAAUCCUAAGGCCGGCGGAAGAAUUACAGUUAAGGAACUCGGCAAAUUGACCCCGUAAGUUCGCGAGAAGGGGUGCCUACGAGAGUAGGCCGCAGAGAAUAGGCCCAAGCAACUGUUUAGCAAAAACACAGGUCUCUGCUAAAGCGUAAGCUGAUGUAUAGGGGCUGACGCCUGCCCGGUGCUGGAAGGUUAAGGGGAACACUUAGCGCAAGCGAAGGUGUGAACUUAAGCCCCAGUAAACGGCGGCCGUAACUAUAACGGUCCUAAGGUAGCGAAAUUCCUUGUCAGGUAAGUUCUGACCCGCACGAAUGGCGUAAUGACUUGGGCACUGUCUCAACUGUAAAUCCGGCGAAGUUGUAGUGCGAGUGAAGAUGCUCGCUACCCGCGAUUGGACGGAAAGACCCCGUAGAGCUUUACUGUAGCUUAGCAUUGAGUUUUGGUAUUGUCUGUACAGGAUAGGUGGGAGACUAGGAAACCAGGGCGUCAGCCUUGGUGGAGUCAACCUUGGGAUACCACCCUGACAGUACUGAAAUUCUAACUGGCGGCCAUGAAUCUGGUCACAGGACAUUGUUAGGUGGGCAGUUUGACUGGGGCGGUCGCCUCCUAAAAAGUAACGGAGGCGCCCAAAGGUUCCCUCAGAACGGUCGGAAAUCGUUCGAAGAGUGCAAAGGCAGAAGGGAGCCUGACUGCGACACCCACAAGUGGAGCAGGGACGAAAGUCGGGCUUAGUGAUCCGGUGGUACCUCGUGGGAGGGCCAUCGCUCAACGGAUAAAAGCUACCUCGGGGAUAACAGGCUGAUCUCCCCCAAGAGUCCACAUCGACGGGGAGGUUUGGCACCUCGAUGUCGGCUCGUCGCAUCCUGGGGCUGAAGUAGGUCCCAAGGGUUGGGCUGUUCGCCCAUUAAAGCGGCACGCGAGCUGGGUUCAGAACGUCGUGAGACAGUUCGGUCCCUAUCCGUCGCGGGCGUAGGAAAUUUGAGAGGAGCUGUCCUUAGUACGAGAGGACCGGGAUGGACUGACCUCUGGUGUACCAGUUGUUCCGCCAGGAGCACAGCUGGGUAGCUAAGUCGGGAAUGGAUAAACGCUGAAAGCAUCUAAGCGUGAAGCCAACCUCAAGAUGAGAUUUCCCAUAGCGUAAGCUAGUAAGAUCCCUUGAAGAACACAAGGUUGAUAGGUCGGGGGUGUAAGCAUGGUAACAUGUUCAGCUGACCGAUACUAAUAGAUCGAGGGCUUGACCAA